AUGCCCUCCUCCCCCGUGGGGCACCUUCCCCCUCCUUCACCCCCUUGCCAAGGUCUCUUAGUGACUCAGAGGGCGGAAAUGCUCCAGAGGUCUCAUCGGACAAUUAUGGAAACCCUUUUUGGAAUCCUGAGGCUGGAAGGCCUCUCCCAAGGUCACCGGCUCCUUCCUCUGCCCACUGCAGAGCAGCACCGAACCCAAAUGGCCCGACACAGACACACACAGAGACACAGACACACACAGACACAGACAGACACACAGACACAGACACACAGACACACACACAGACACACACACAGCUCUGCGACAACCAACAAGCUCUACCUUGAAAUUUUAGAGGAAAAAAUUAGAAGAAAAAGGAAAAAUAGCAAAAAAAAUUGGAAGAAAAAGUAGAAAUUAGAAAAAUAACUGAAGGAAAAUAGAAAUUAGGAAAAUAGCAAGAAUGGAAGAGGAAACUAGAAAGCAAAAAUAGCAAAAGAACAAUUGGAAGAAAGAAAAUAGAAAUUAGAGGAAAAAAGAUUGGAAGAG
rnacentral:lncRNA from 1 species